AAAAAAAAAAAAAAGUUUUUGUUACAUUUUUUUUCUCUAAAGAAAAUUCAUGCUUUAAAUAAAAUCCAAAGACAUACCCUUUCACCACUGGUGCAGAAUGAGCAAAAAGGAUUCUUUUUACUUGAGAAUUUGUUUCUGAUUUAAACAAACAAGUCUAAGUUUAAAUAAAGAAUAAAAAAAGUACCCAGGUUGUUAUCUGUGCUUCUUCUGCAAGCAGAGAGACAACUCUUUACGAAAAUCCAGCAUACCAAAAGGCAGGUUUCAAUUUUGAAGUUGUGUCCCUGUGCUAGGCAGCCUGAGCAGUGAGCUCCCAGAGACGCAGAUAGCGAUGCACAGAAAGAGGCUCUAUGUGAGGCAUUUGUGCUUACGUUGAUCUCUGUGCUCCUGUUUGUGGAAAACACGCCGACAUACACGCACACACGCACGCACACACUCACACAUCUUUUGUGGUCUGGACUUUGAAAGGAAAACUUUGUGCUGCUAAAAUGUAGAUUCUGGAGACAAAUAGAUGCUUGCUUUCACUUCCGUAGCCAAAUGUCAACAGAAACGGUCUCCUUUCCCCCGUUUCCUCUUCCCCGAAAGUGUGAGAGCCUUCUCCCUGUCAUCCUCAUCCUCCUCCUGCUUCAAAGGGAACUUCGAAGACUGUGAACGCAGGUUCCUCCCGCCGCCUUCGGGCUUCUCCUCCCAAGGCUGAAGCCGCUCAUCGACUCUGCAAGAGACUGGAGCAUCCUGAGAGACGAACGUGGGUUUCAUUUUUUAGCGGGACUCUUUUAUUUUUACAGAUUUUUGGUUUUAGUUUGAUGAAAGACUAGAUCCUGAACUGUUGUACAUAUUUCUAACUAGGCUAAUGCACAGUGCAAAUUCCUUUUUUAAUUGUUUUUUAAGUAGACGAUACUAAAGAGAGUACCAUCUAAUAUUCCUACCAGUAUCCAGUUGUAGCAUAAGGUGUCAAAAAUGAAAACAAGUACACAAAAUGUGUUUGCUGUUUUAACAAACUGUUUUCUUUUAACGAAAGUUCUUGUAUUUCUCCCCGUGUUUGAGAUGAACAUUUUUUAAAUUCUAAAGUUGUACAGUUUUGUUUUUCCAUUAUUUUAUCUUGUUUGUAAUUCUAUGAAAUAUAUAUAUAUAUAUUUUUUGCCAUUUAACUGUUGUAUGUUACUCUGUCUGUAUCAUAUAGAAAUUUUUUGUUUGUUCUGUUUUUUGAUUAUGUGAUACAAGUUAACAAUUUAACACUAGCUUUAUCUGUCAAAUUCUGCGAGGUCUCUUUUUGAAAUCCUUUUGUUGGUUUUGUUUUGUUUUUUUGUUUUUGUUUUUUGUUUUUUUAAUUAUAUUGCUUGGUCAUAGUGCAAUUUCCCUCUCCUUCUUCCCCCUCCUCCUUCCCACCCACUAAAAGGUUUUAUAAAUUCAUUUCCUUGUAUUUUUUGUAAAUGUUUCUAGAGACUUCCAGUGCGAGGUUGCCUCCUCCUCUCGCAGUCCCCGCGCUAUGGGGUGGGAUGGCCACGGGAUGCGGCCGCCCAAGGCCGACAGCUGGGACUGGAAGCCCCCUGCCCGGCAGCCCUAAGGGACCCCGUGUCCCAGCCCCGUGCCCGCAGAGCCACGGUGGGAGCAGGGUUGGCCCCACGGAGCCUUUUUGAGAUCUGCCCCAGGGCGAGCAUGCCCCUCGUAAGUGAAGGUCGGCAGGCCAGGGCCCAGGCAGAGCGGGGCAAGCGGGGCAUGAGGAAAAGAUUUUAAACUUAGCAUUGAGCGGGUUUCUGUUUUAUUUUUAAUAAAAAGCUUUUUUAAGUGGUGAAGAUGGCCAAAGUUUCAUACAACUGAGAAUAAAGUAAGGUGUAAGGCGAGUGUUGGGGCCACCUGUGCCCGCUGGGCAGGUGGGGUGGGAGCUGGCAAGGGAGGCACCGGCACGGCCAGCACACUCAGUGUUCGUGGAAAUAUAUUUUGCUUUAGAAAAAAAAAAAAAAAAAAACUUUUAAAUAGAAGCAGAAAUUGGGUUGAUUGGUUGGUUGGUUGGUUGGCUGGUUGGUUGGUUGGUUGGUUGGUUUAUUGGCGCUGAGAUACUGCCCACUGUGAAUCACAAAGUUUUGACUAUUUUUUUUGGUUUUAUUUCUGGGGGGCGAGUUUGGGUAGAACAGAAAGCAUAAAUGAGGUGAAGAGGGAUAUGAACAGCCUUUGCAAUGUACAAAAAAUAGAGCAAGUGAAACCAAAAAUGAUGUUCUUGGUGUUUUUCUAUGAUGUAGUCUUGUUAGCUUUUUUUGUUACUGUAACAAUGCUGAUCUCGAACUGUACCAAAAUACAUGGAGACUAACAGAAACAGAAACCACAUGGAACUUUCAAAACUUCAAAAAUAUUUGUCACAAAAGACUUUGUUGUCAUAGUUGAGUUGACUGUAGAUGGUAAUUGAAUAUACUCCUUUGGAAAUAUUUCAUCACGUAUGUUUCCUGCUCAUUGUGAUACAUUAAAAAAAAAAAAAGAAAAAAAAAAAAAAAAAAAAAAAAAGAGCAAAAGCUCUCGUCUCCAAUGUCCCCGCUUGUGCGGUGCAGGGUCUGCGUCGGGUGGGUGAGCGGCGCGCGGCACGGCGGGACUCAUGCGUCCACCUGAGGCCGCGCACCCACGCCGACGGGCGGGUGCUCGCACGGAGCCACGUGCGUGUGUGCACAAACCCUCGUGCCGCGCCGGCGCAUGCACAGGCACACGCACAUCCGCUUUCUUCCCGAAGCACCUGGGUGUCCGAGGACCCGCCAGUGUGGAAGUGCUUGGGCUGAUGCUAUGAAUUAAUGUGAACGUGGAAGUAAUGAGCCAAAUAGCACAAUUCAUAUUAUGGCUUUGGGAUGCAUUGUGUAUGAAAAAGACAUUAUAAGUGCAUUCAAUUUUACUAAAUGAUUGUGUAAGAAUUCUGGGCGUACUGCUGUAAUUAAUGGUUAAAGGCAAAGCAUGAUGCCCAUAGGAGUUGAGGUCCUCUUAAAACCUGUAAACUAGAAGCGAACUAGAAUCGCCAUGUCUUCUUCUACUGAUUAAACCAAAAGGAGACGAAGGUAAGAAAGAUGCGACUGCAGCAGGAAUGGGGUCACCAGCACUACUAUUCCACUGGUGUUUGCACUGUACUGCAUUAAUGACUUCAGUGUUGUACAGAGACCUGCAGUUUUAAUCGGUGCAUUACUUCCCUGGGCUGAUGUGGUGAGCUAAUCCAACGACAGCUGCACAGGCUCUCCCGGGGCAGCUCAGUGCCGAGGUGCUGCCACCAUCCCUGGCCGAGGACGUGGCUCCCCACCAGGCUGCACAGCACUGGCCCCAGUGGCUCGUCCCCGCUGUAUCCAUGCUUGGUCCCUGGUGGGACAAGGCUGCCCGCCCCUACCACCAGUGGGGCACGGGCGCAGAGCAGAAACUACAGGCAAAGCCUGAGGUGGGGGCACCCAGCUGUGCCCCUGUCUCUGCUGGCCGCAGGCAGAUGCAGCCCCCCCGAGGGAGCCCAAGCUGCGGAGGAGCUGCUGCCGGCAGAGCUCCAGCUCUCCCGCGGCCUCUGCGGUGAUGGAAGAGAGACUUCACACUGCGCCCCAGAGAAAAGAUAGCGGUACCUAUAAAUGGUAUUGUGCUGUUGGUUAGAUGGUAGCAUGAUGUUACUUAAUUAAUGUUUUAAUACCCUAGGCAUCUUCUGUGCCGUAUAAUUCAUAUCGAUUCAGCUGUGAGCAUGUUCAGUUAAAAAGACUCUCUUUCCUAAGCAAACUUUCAAUUAUAUUGAAUUGUCACAGCAAAAAAGGGCCUUUUCUCAGCAUGGGGGAAGGGAUUCACUACCAUACUGCUGCCGGCCUGGCCAGGCACACAUGUGCCCAAGCCUACACAGUCAUGCACACAGCGCACACCUCCCCAGCCCCCUGAGCCACUGGUGCCAACUCCAGCACUGCAACACUGCCAGGCGUCACCAUACCCAGUCAGCCGUGGCAGUGGGGUUCCCUCCAGCCUGAGUCCAGGAAAGCAGCCUGUCCUCUCCAGCUGCUGCUGGGCCCUGGGGAGGUCGGUCUUAGCCCUGUGCCAGAGCCUGCCACCAGCGUGGGUACGCACUCCUCUGUGUAUCCUCUUGAUACGCAGCCACCCCUGACAGUGCCAUGGAAGCAAAAUCACCAGCACCCAGCAAAGCAGUGCUUGGAGGUGCUGGCAUUUUUUUUUUUUUUUAAGGAUAUGUUUGCUUUCAGCAAUGGAAGAACAUCUGGUUAUUCUGGGAAGAGAAAAUGUCCCUGUGAGCAGAGAGACAUGGCACAUUGACUCAGCCACGUGUGUCUUGGCAGCUUUGUCACCAGCCACAGUCACAGCCCUUGCCUGCCAGCCCUGCUGAGCUCAUCGUGACCAGGAUGUUGGGGGGGACAUGCAGGCUGCUCCCAAAACAAGCCGUCCUUCUACUGGGGAGCUUUAUUAAAGCCUUCUACCUGGUUUUGUAAGUAACAAGGAAAAUACAAAAAUUCUGUAUUUUCAUUACUCCUUAUUUUGACAGUCCACUGAACAAAAACACAAAGCGCAUCUCCUGCUGCCCCUUGCUCCCUGGCUCUGCCUCUUUCUCCCAUGGAGUUCAAAUUAAAGAAGGCGAAAAUUGAAGCUGUUGUACGCAAGGCGAUUGCAACAUGCAUAUUUGAUUUUUAUGAUGGAUCUAAAUUGCUGAAUAAGGCCGUGGAACAAAGGGAGACUGCGGCUUCCUGCCCAUCACAGACAGGCAGCCACUGCAGAACAAAAGCGCCAGCCAUUAGGGGCUCAGCAGGGAGACACAUUAUAUAAAUGACUUUGUUUCUCUGCCCCUUCCCCCCCACGGGGUGCUCCGAUUGGAGCUGGGGGGCUCCUGAUUUGCACAACCCGGGGAGAGCACGCGGCUGGUGCGGAGCUGCAGCCAUGACCCAGUGUGCUGCAGGGGGCCCAGCGCCCGCAGCCGCCCCCGCCCCGGGUGAGCCAGCCGUGGCCAUGUCCUGCCUUCCCUCUCCUCUUGCAGUGUGCUGCAACGUCCACGUCCCUCCUGCUGCCAGGGCCAUAGGUGCCAGUGCUGGCAUCCCCAGGGCCACGCAGUG